rnacentral:rRNA from 1 species
AUGAAGGCCUCGCGGUCCUCGGCAAGGACCCGCGCCUUGCCGUCCAGCUCGACCUUCCACGCCCCAACUCCUGCUCCAGUACGCCCAGGCGGUCGCGGCUUUGUUAAGCUUGGCGUCUCGGUCCUUGAUGGCCGCCUCGAGAGCUUUCAGGUUUUCUUCCUUCUCUUGGCGGAUGCGGGCCUCCUCGGCAAGCUGGUCCCGCAGGCCCUGCAGUUCGCUCUCCAGCGCCUUGCAACGGCCUUGGGCAUCAGCCGCCUCCCUCAAGGCGGCGUCGCGAGCAGCCUUUGCCUCAAGGACAACCAGCUUCUCCUCAUCGCAAGCCGUCGAGGCAUGAGCCAGUGCCGCUCGAAUCGAAGCGUCAGAGCGGAUCCAGCCAGAAGCCAGCUCCAAGCGCCCGGCCACCAAGCGAGGGUCAGCACCCAGAAGGUCUUGCCACAGCCGGUCCAGUUCGGCAGCAGCGCGAUCCAAGACGGUGGAAGGGGUCGGAGAGACAUCAGUUGGUGGACUAGGAGGAGAGGACGGCAACGUAACCACAGGACCCUGAGGCAGGACCUGCUACGCCCCAACAACUGUGGCGACGGCAUCAGACAGGGACACCUCAGGAGUCGCUUGGGCCAUGGGGGCUGGGCUCGCCCCAGCCUGCUCCACCAGGCCUCGCGAGGACGACCGGGCAGGAGAGGUCCGUGCCUUGCAGCCACCUCCCUUCAUGGGCAGAGGUGCUGCCCCAGACGGAGCCUCAGGAGCCCCCUUCAGCUUCUUCGCCGCAGGCGCCAGCCUAGCCAAGAGAUACAGACAUCAAGCCUCAACGACAAAGCAAGGAACAAGACAAGAAUCGAGCACUUACUCGUCGCCGCUCGUGAGCUCGAGCAACCUCCGGCCGUACUUGAAGCCCGAGAGCCGGCUGCUGGGAUGAGCCUCGCGAGGUUCGGAAGCAGGAGGCACGUCUGCAGAUCGCCUCGGAGCCGGGGCAGACCCGAGGGGGACCAGCCAAGACCUGGCCUUCUUCGAGAUCGGGGGCAAGCUCCCGCCGCCCCGCUCGUCAUCAUCCUCGUCGUCGCUCGGCGAAAGGCGGAGAGCGCGGGACCUGCACCCGGGGAGAGGCGCUCUCGACUCCCCGUCGGUAGCCUCGGAGCCAGGCCCCCCUUCCCGCUCCUCUUCUUCUUCCUCUUCGCUGGAGUCGCCGGAGGACACGUUCACCGUCGCCUGGGCCGCCGGGUCCUCGGGAGCCACCACAGGCAUGGGCCCGUCUCCAUUAAAGACGGGCAUGGAGUCAACCACCUUCUCCCAAUCAUCUCGGAGAAACAGGGGUACGGGGGCGCCCUCCAGCCUCGCCAGGUCCCCUCCGACCAAAGAUUGAAGGACCGCGGUCAGAUCUCCGCCGGCCAAAACUUCGGGGCUCAGGCGGGGCCUCCACAGCGGGAGCGAAUACUUGCGAAGAGGGGCCACCUGAUGCUCUAG